CGAAAUUUUUAAGUUCAUAUAUUAACAAAAACAUGUCAGCAGAUGAUGACAUAUUCCUCGCGGAAGCAUCGCCAGUAACCGACCGUAGAAAAUAGUAGAAAAUUACCUUACGUGUACUAUAAGAACAAAAUAUCGAUAACUAUGUGUGACGUUUCUGAGGGGGGGGGGGGGGGGUCUCCAGAGAAACGUCCAUAUGACGUUUCUCAUGGACAAAAUCGAUGUGUGAGGCUU